rnacentral:misc_RNA from 1 species
AUCCAAGAAGGUGAACAGUAUUUUUACAAACUAAUAGGGUAUACAAAUAUAGAGUCUGACUAUAGAAAGUGGCAUUUAAUAAUUCAUGGGAUAUCAUAUUUUGCUAUUAUGGUUCAAAUUAGAUGUAGAGCAAAUUUAUUGGAUUGCCUUCCAUGAGAUCCCCAUCUUUUUUUACUCUGUAUGUCAUUGGAGGUUAUUGUUAUAAAGCAGGAUAAACCUUAUCAAUCUUUGUCUUCUGCAGUUUGAUGGUUUUAUUGA